AAUGCUGAGCUUUAGUUGGUUGAAUUCGGGCCAAAUUAAUCUUGAGAGAUACAAUGCAAUGCAUUUGGUCCCCUUCAACCAGCUGUAGUAUGGCAUUACU
rnacentral:pre_miRNA from 1 species